UACGUAGGGUGCGAGCGUUAAUCGGAAUUACUGGGCGUAAAGCGUGCGCAGGCGGUUUUGUAAGCCAGAUGUGAAAUCCCCGGGCUUAACCUGGGAAUGGCAUUUGGGACUGCAAGGCUGGAGUGUGGCAGAGGAGACUGGAAUUCCCGGUGUAGCGGUGAAAUGCGUAGAUAUCGGGAGGAAUACCGAUGGCGAAGGCAGGUCUCUGGGCUGACACUGACGCUCAUGCACGAAAGCGUGGGGAGCAAACAGG
rnacentral:rRNA from 1 species